UACGAAGGGGGCUAGCGUUGCUCGGAAUCACUGGGCGUAAAGCGCACGUAGGCGGCUUCUUAAGUCAGGGGUGAGAUCCUGGAGCUCAACUCCAGAACUGCCUUUGAUACUGAGAAGCUUGAGUCCGGGAGAGGUGAGUGGAACUGCGAGUGUAGAGGUGAAAUUCGUAGAUAUUCGCAAGAACACCAGUGGCGAAGGCGGCUCACUGGCCCGGUACUGACGCUGAGGUGCGAAAGCGUGGGGAGCAAACAGG
rnacentral:rRNA from 1 species